rnacentral:tRNA from 1 species
AUCACAAAAAAAAUACAUGUUUCGGCCAUGUAAAUGGUUAAAAUCUAACCUUGUGAUU